rnacentral:rRNA from 1 species
GUCCACGCCGUAACGAUGGAUACUAGCUGUUCGGAGCAAUCUGAGUGGCUAAGCGAAGUGAUAAGUAUCCCACCUGGGAGUACGUUCGCAAGAAUGAACUCAAAGGAAUUGACGGGCCCGCACAAGCGGUGGAGCAUGUGGUUUAAUUCGAUGAUACGCGAGGAACCUUACCAAGGCUUAAAUGUAGAUUGACCGAUUUGGAAACAGAUCUUUCGCAAGACAAUUUACAAGGUGCUGCAUGGUUGUCGU